rnacentral:rRNA from 1 species
GAUGAACGCUAGCGACAGGCCUAACACAUGCAAGUCGAGGGGUAACAGGGAAGCUUGCUUCCGCUGACGACCGGCGCACGGGUGCGUAACGCGUAUGCAACCUACCUCAUACAGUGGGAUAGCCCGAAGAAAUUCGGAUUAAUACCACAUAACAUUGUGCUACCGCAUGGUAAUACAAUUAAAACUCCGGUGGUAUGAGAUGGGCAUGCGUGACAUUAGAUAGUUGGUGAGGUAACGGCUCACCAAGUCAACGAUGUCUAGGGGUUCUGAGAGGAAGGUCCCCCACACUGGUACUGAGACACGGACCAGACUCCUACGGGAGGCAGCAGUGAGGAAUAUUGGUCAAUGGGCGCAAGCCUGAACCAGCCAUGUCGCGUGCAGGAAGACGGCCCUAUGGGUUGUAAACUGCUUUUUUACGGGAAGAAAUAUAGCUACGUGGAGUUAUUUGCCGGUACCGUAGGAAUAAGGAUCGGCUAACUCCGUGCCAGCAGCCGCGGUAAUACGGAGGAUCCGAGCGUUAUCCGGAUUUAUUGGGUUU